UUUCCGUAGGUGAACCUGCGGAAGGAUCAUUAAAGAGUUCAUGCCCUCACGGGUAGAUCUCCCACCCUUGAAUAUUUAUACCUUAGUUGCUUUGGCAGGCCGUGGAAACACCAUGGGCUCCGGCUUAUGCGUGCCUGCCAGAGGAAACAAACUCUGUUUUUAGUGAUGUCUGAGUACUAUAUAAUAGUUAAAACUUUCAACAACGGAUCUCUUGGUUCUG
rnacentral:misc_RNA from 1 species